rnacentral:rRNA from 1 species
GACGAACCAUGCAAACGUUAUUCGGAAUCACUGGGCUUAAAGCGCGCGUAGGCGGCUCAGAAAGUUGGGUGUGAAAUCCCUCGGCCUAACCGAGGAAUUGCGCCCAAAACUACUGGGCUCGAGGGAGUUAGAGGUGAGCGGAACUCACGGUGGAGCGGUGAAAUGCGUUGAUAUCGUGAGGAACACCGGAGGCGAAAGCGGCUCACUGGGGCUUUUCUGACGCUGAGGCACGAAAGCCAGGGGAGCAAACGGG